GUGCAACACUGAGCAAGAAUCACUGGUGAUGUCAACCCUCUGUCAUCUGAGCUGCAUCUCAUGUGAGGGACAGAGCCUUCCCAAACCCAGAAGCUGGUGGCAUCAAGCUCAUGGGAUGCUUAAGUCUAUACCACGGAGUUACAGUAAUCCAUCCUGGAAGUGACAAACAUAUGAUACCAUGUGGCUUGAUCCUGUGGGAAGAAGGGUGGAAUUUCCUAUGGGUGCAGAUGCAUAAAGAAAAAGGACAUUUUUUAAGACUGAACACCCUUCCUGGCUGUCCCAGUUUAAUUCAUGGCAUAUCUCAUUGGAAGAUAACUACUCUGGUCCUGAUUGACUGUUGUGUUAUUUUGCAAAAUAGUGAUGCAAAAAACCCCUCAAAUCAUAUUAACAAAAGCUAUUGCCUCCCACAAAAGUUACUGAGCUUUAGGAGAGCAUGUCCAAGACUACCCCAUGAGGCUGAAUGUGUACAACUCAAUGAAGCCAGAUGACAUGCAUCCCAGCAUCCUGAAAGUUCUGUCUGAUGUGGUUGCCAAGAUGCUCUCCAUCAUAUUUGAAAAGUUAUGUCUGUCAGCUGAAGUUCAUGGACAUGAUAAAGGAAAACAUCACUUCCAUAUUCAAGAAAGGGAUAAAGGAAGACCUGGGGGACUACAGGCUGGUGAGUCUCAUCUCUGUGUCUGAGAAGAUCAUGGAACAGAUCCUGCUAGAAGUUGCGUUAAGGCAGAUGUGGGAUAUGAAGCUGUAGGCGGAGUUCCAGAGGAGGACCACAAGAAUGCUCAGAGGACUGGAGCACCUCUGCUGCUAAGACAGGUUAAGGGAGUGGGGCUUUUUUAUUACAUACAUACAUAAUAUUAUGCAUGUUAUAUAUACAUAAAGUCAUCAUUUUUCUUGAUCAGGUCCUAAAGGUUGGACACUGAAAGAGAUUACUGUUAAAGCUGUAUUAUGAGUGCAGAUUUUGCCCUGAGUCCUUCUUAUAUAAAACUAACAGAUUACCAAAAGGAGAAUGAUUUCUGGAUUGGUAAGGAUUUUGUACUCCUAGCCACAAAUACAGCAAUGGAAUGGACACUAGAUGACAGAUCAAUAUCUAUAGAAUGGGCAAGUGUUUCUGAUGAAAGUAUAUAGCUGACAAAGUGAGUUCACCACACAGUAGGCUGGUGAGGAAAUCAAUGGCUGAUUCUUUUUUCAGUAAAGCCUAUGUUAUUUUGCAGUGGGGAACUUGAUGAUACCUAACCAAGCCUGAAGAGAAUGUCCCAGUUUUCAAUAGCAAUUAGAAUAACCCUUGAGAUUGCGAUAUAUGGACUUAUCUUUGUGGAGGACUUUAACUUACUGUUGUACUCUUAUUCCAUCACUUAUGGGAAGUUUUAUUUCUAUGAUCGUGUAACAAAUUAUUUACUAAAUUCACUGGUACUUUAAAAAAUACUGUCAUUUAAAGGAUAUUUUAUAGCUGAAAAUCACAUCUAGACUUCCCUAAGAACUAGAAUUAGGUGUUAGCACACAUACUCUCAUCCCUGUCUUGACCUCAUAAAAAAAUUGAAGAUACAACUCUGCACUUUUAUCUGUUGAAUCUUGAAUUAAGAAAGUAGAAUAUUUAAACAAUCAUCAGUCUUAAAAUAUGACAGGAUUCAGAUCUGUUCUGAUGUCUGAGGUCUAUGGUUUAGUUUCUUCUUUGUAACAAUAUUGUAUUAAUUUUAAAAGGCCUUCCCCUAAACUUAACAGGCAAAUUUUAGCAAGUAUCUUUCUUCCUAGCUCAGUCAUUUUUUCCCCCAGUAUAUUUAAGCAGUGUGAAUACUUUAACUACACAAUUAUUUGCACAAUAAUUUCUCUGUUCUGCCAAAAUUAAUGUUUUAAUGAAGAAACAGCAAUUAAUAAAGAAACAACAAAUAGACA
ensembl:lncRNA